rnacentral:rRNA from 1 species
AACGAACGCUGGCGGUAUGCCUAACACAUGCAAGUCGAACGACACCUCCGGGACUAGUUGCGCACGGGUGCGUAACGCGGGGGAAGCUGCCCUUAGGUUCGGAAUACCUCCCUGACAGGGGGGCUAAUACCGGAAAAUUUCCGCUGACAAAAGAUUUCUCGUGUUUGUAUGGGCAGGCGUUGGUUUAGCUAGUUGGUAUGGUAAAAGCCUACCAAGGCGUCGCUACAUAGCUGGUCUGAGAGGAAGAUAAGCCACACUGGGACUGUGAUACGGCCCGGAAUCCUGCGCGAGGGAGCAAUGGGGAAUAUAGGACAACGGGCUAAGGGCUGAUGCAGCACUGCCGGGUGAGUCAUGAAGGCCUGAGGGAAGUAAAGCUCGUUUAUCCGGGAUGAUAAUGACAGUACCGAAAGAAUAAGCACCGGCUAACUUCGUG